rnacentral:lncRNA from 1 species
GGCGGGUCCUGUGGUGGCAGCUGCUGGCCCCUGCCUGUCCUGCGUCCCCGGGCAGCGGAGGUGCAGCUGCUGUGGGUGGCUGUGGUUCCCCAGGGAGGUUAUCCUGGGGCGGGGCCAGGGACCAGCAGCCCCUCCUCGGGCAGGAAGUGGGGUGCCCAGCUGCGCUCUCCCGUUGGCCCACCUGGUGUGGCGGGCCCCCCGCUGCCGCACAGGAAGUGUCCCCCAGGCCUGCCUGCCCUCCUGGGCCACCGAGUCUCAGUCCUGGAGAGGCGGCAGCCGUGGGAAGGGGCAGGGCCUGCUGCUGGGCUGCAGAGCUGCUCAGGACCUUCCAGAAGCCUCCGCCUGGGGCAGCGGCCAUUUUUGUGCAUCGGCCAUCUCUAGUCAGCGGCUUCCGGAGGCAGCCACUGCCGCCUGGCCUCAGGGACAGGAACUGGCCCCGUCACCCGGCAGAACCGGGUCCCCUCAGACGCAGGAGCCCCACCCAGGCUGGAGCUGGGCCAUCUUGCCCCCGCCCCCCGGGGACACCUGGCCAGGCCUGGGGACCUCACGACAGGUGGGAGCUCCUGCCUGGAGUGGGUGGAGGCCAGGAACAGGACCCCACCUGCCACCCAGAGAAGGACCCGUGGGGGUCCAGCAUGAGCCUUGCUCAGGCGGAGACGGUCACUGUCAAACACAGAUGGGCGGUGCCAGCCGGGUCCAGCCUCGGCCCCACGUAAAAAUAAACAAAACGAGGCCCAGCAGGCGUCAGCACCCUGUUCCCACAGAGCGGCGGAACCUGCUGUGAGCCGGGGACUGUGACUGUGAUGCUCCUCGCCAUCGCCGUGGGCGAGAUAAGUAGAUCUAAAAAGUGAAAAUAGAGAGAGAGACGAUAGAGUGAAAUAAAGGUGCUGUGUCCAUCCACGACCAAAAACAAACAAAAGCUGUGCGCGGCCACUGGGCAGGCCACUGGGCAGUGGAGGAGGCGGUGAGUCCCAGGGCAGCCUCAGCAACUUUGGUGAGACCCUGUCUUAAAAUAGAAUAAAGGACCAGGGAUGUGGCUCAGUGACAGAGCGCCCGGGCUCCAUCCCAGUACCUAAAAAAAUGACAGUGACUGCAUUCGGUGGGACACUGGGUGAGGACGCCCAGGCUGUCUUAGGGUCAGUCUGCGGUGCCCUUCUGCUUGGUACUGUGGUUUAUUUGCCUUGUGGAGCCGGGGCAGGGCCGGCCUGCUAGGCUGGUGCCCACCACUGGGUGACCCAGCCCCGUGUCAUUGUGGGGGGUGGAGCGACCGCCGCCUCCCGCCGUCUCCUGCCAGCAGCAGGCUCAGCUGAGGGGCCGCGGCUGGUCACCACCCAUCCAUGCCAGUGUGGGUGGCUUGCACAGGGGCACUGGUGACUGGGCUCUGUGAUGUUCGUGCGAUGACACGUCUCGGGGACACGUCCCUGUUGUGCAGGGACAUGCCACCACCCUAGUAUCAUGCCUGGUUUACCUGUGGGCACAGGAGUCAGACCCCGUGGUGUGGCCCUGGGAUUCCUGGGUCCUGUGGCCCUUGGUGGCCUUCCCAGCAGCCCGGUGAGCCCCCAGCAGGGGAGCAUGGCCCAGGGAGAUGGAAAUAGACUCCCCCCACCCCCUGGCUGGCCCCUGAGGGCCUCACCCUAGGAAGUCCGCAGCCUGGAGCUGCCAGUGGUCACCCACACCCUCAGGCGAUGGGAAGGGUUAGGUAAAUACUUUGGGGGGCUGGGGCUCAGUGGCAGCGCUCUCCUAGCGCCUCAUUAAAAAAGGAGGCAGAUGAGACACAGGGUGCUGCGUGCUGCCCACCUGCUGACCAAACGGACCCCAAACAGUGAAUAAAAAAAGCAUUAGAGACCAACACAGAAGCCGUGGAGGGCGCCGCCUUCACUGUGGGGCUGGGGAGGAUGGCCGCGUGCGCAGGGGCAGGGUUGGCAGAGGCCUCCCUGAGUGCCUGUCCCCGAAGUGUCCGGGGCCUUCAUGAAGGUAGCUGCUUACAGUUCAGGGUAGACUGGUGGCUCUCCAGGAGGCAGUUGUGCCAGCCAGGGGACACGUGGCACUGUGGCACUGUCAGGGGACCCUCCUAGUGGUCAUAGCUGCUGCGUCUAGUGGCUACACACCGGGGGCUGCUCAACACCCUCCCCUGCCCAGCACUGUCCUCCACCAAGGAGGUGCCCGCUGCUCAAGGAGGCCUUCUACAGCUGGCUCAGAGCCGGGCCCGGGGGGAGGGGCCCGGGAGGCCUUCUGGAUGCCCGGACCUCAAAUGCUGAGGUGGGGACACCCUGGGUGGACUGAGGGCCACAGGAAGGGGUCCCAGGAAGCAGUCCCCUGCCACUGGCUUUGUCAUUCAUGGAGCUGCAUUUCUUUGUGUCUGGGACAGUCCAGUGCAGGCCGGAGUGGCCCGGAGUGGCUCUCCUCCAAACAGUGACUUGGGGUCCAGGCUCCUUCCAGGAUUGUCUGUUUCCCUCCCUCCCCCUCCCUCCCCCUCCCCCCCUUUUCUCUGUCUCUCUCUGUCUUUUUUUUUGGUGCUGAACCCAGGAGCACUUUACCCUUGAGCUAUAUCCCCAGCCAUUUUUACUUUUUAUCCUGGGACAGGGUCUUCCUAAGUCGCCCAGGCUGACCUCACACUUCAGAUCCUCCUGCCUUGGCCUCCCAAUCACUGGCAUUCCGGGUGUGCACUGCUGAGGCGGCCACGCUGACCUCUUGAGUCCUCUCAGAGGCCGAUUUUAAUGGACAAGGACAGGGCUGGACACCGUGGCGCACGCCUGUCAUCCCGGCAGCACACGAGGCCGAGGCAGGAGGAUCACGAGUUCAAAGCCAGCCUCAGCAACUGGGAGAGACACUGUCUCAAAGUAGCAAGAGCUGGUCCAGUGGUCAGCGUCCCUGGGUUCAACCCCUGGUACCAGAAAAAGAAAGAAACUGCAAACAUUCCCACAAACCCUUGGGUCAUGCCCAACACCCCUGCCCCAGGUCAAAAGCGGGCAGUGGGCUCUGGGUGUCCGGGAAGUGACCCUUAGGACCAUCCCCAGUUCAGCCCCCGCAGAGGAGGCUGGAGGGGGUCGAGGACCUCCUGGUGUAGCUGGAGGGUCUCCCAGAGGGGGACACCUUGGCUUUAGGAAGGCACAAGUCAAAGCCCAGAUCCAGGACAGGCCGGAGAGCCGCGGCCGGACCCGUGAACGAGCA